UUUUAUUUGAGAGUUUGAUCCUGGCUCAGGAUGAACGCUGGCGGCGUGCCUAACACAUGCAAGUUGAGCGAUUUACUUCGGUAAAGAGCGGCGGACGGGUGAGUAACGCGUGGGUAACCUACCCUGUACACACGGAUAACAUACCGAAAGGUAUGCUAAUACGGGAUAAUAUAUUUGAGAGGCAUCUCUUGAAUAUCAAAGGUGAGCCAGUACAGGAUGGACCCGCGUCUGAUUAGCUAGUUGGUAAGGUAACGGCUUACCAAGGCGACGAUCAGUAGCCGACCUGAGAGGGUGAUCGGCCACAUUGGAACUGAGACACGGUCCAAACUCCUACGGGAGGCAGCAGUGGGGAAUAUUGCACAAUGGGCGAAAGCCUGAUGCAGCAACGCCGCGUGAGUGAUGAAGGCCUUCGGGUCGUAAAACUCUGU
rnacentral:rRNA from 1 species